rnacentral:rRNA from 1 species
AGCGGAGCAUGUGGUUUAAUUCGAAGCAACGCGAAGAACCUUACCAGAUCUUGACAUCCAAUUGACCAUCUUUUAAUCGAGAUUUUGCCUUCGGGUACAAUUGAGACAGGUGGUGCAUGGUUGUCGUCAGUUCGUGUCGUGAGAUGUUGGGUUAAGUCCCGCAACGAGCGCAACCCUUGUGUUUAGUUGCAAACAGGUCAAGCUGUGCACUCUAGACAGACUGCCGUGGACAACACGGAGGAAGGUGGGGAUGACGUCAAAUCAUCAUGCCCCUUAUGAUCUGGGCUACACACGUGCUACAAUGGCCGGUACAACGGGCAGCGAAGGAGCGAUCCGGAGCGAAUCCUAAAAAGCCGGUCCCAGUUCGGAUUGCAGGCUGAAACUCGCCUACAUGAAGUUGGAGUUGCUAGUAAUCGCGAAUCAGAAUGUCGCGGUGAAUGCGUUCCCGGGUCUU